rnacentral:rRNA from 1 species
UACGUAGGGCGCAAGCGUUGUCCGGAAUUAUUGGGCGUAAAGAGCUCGCAGGCGGCCUGUUACGUCUGCUGUGAAAUCCCGGGGCUUAACCCCGGGCGUGCAGUGGAUACGGGCAGGCUGGAGGCAGGCAGGGGAGAACGGAAUUCCCGGUGUAGCGGUGAAAUGCGCAGAUAUCGGGAGGAACACCGGUGGCGAAGGCGGUUCUCUGGGCCUGUACUGACGCUGAGGAGCGAAAGCGUGGGGAGCGAACAGG